UGUAAGAGCUACGCCGCGACCCACCUGAAAUCCGCCAGCGACCCACUAGUGGGUCGCGACCCACUGGUUGGGAAACACUGGCCUACAGAACUGAAUUAGUCCAUAGCAGUUAUCAGUUUGCAAGUAGCAAGGGCUUUCUUGAGAAGCUUAUACAUGUAACUUGUAGUGUUGUAAAUUGUGGGAGUAGGGCAGACAGGGAAAAGUCUUAUUUUGUACUGUUCCCAAGGCUCCCCAUGCAAUACAUUUAAAUUAAUUAUCCAAACAAAGCCGGGGACAAUGGAUAAAAGCCACAAGAAGAACAGAUAUAAGGGAAUUAAAAUUAAAAUAUGAAAAGUAAACAUUUUAUAAGUGGAACAACCACCAGAUAUUUAAAAGGUAUAAAAAGAAGAAACUGCUGGAACUUCAAAACAAAUGUGUUUGACUAGUAAAGAUUUGGAUAAAUAACAGGAGUUACUUUGGGCUAUAGCUACGUGCAGAUUUAUUUCCUUGUGGCUUCCUAUGUUAAUUCUUAUUAAUUAUACACUUAAAUAUGUUUUUAGUCUCAGGAAGAUUUUAUAUUUGAUUAUUUUUGAAUAAACAUUAUUAUUAUUA